CAACUUUUGUAAUUUUAAAAAGUGACGUUGCGUCUUGUAAAGGGGCAUUUUUCUGGAUCAGACCGGUCUUCAGCAAAUCACAUUUUGGGUAUACAAUGACGGAUUUAAUCGGGAAAAAGACCCAAUUGUGAUGUUUAUGUGACAUAUAGGAGUGCCAAGAAAGAAGCUCGUCAAAGGAACAUCCUCCCUAACAAGUUUUAACAAAACAUUUUAUGAUCUCAAUUUAAGAUGAGGAGGCAUACAAAGACUUCACCCUCCCUACACCUCUGAUGAAUAUAACAGGAAACCUGUUCGAUCACCAUGUACUGCAAAAUCAUUCUGGCUAUGGAUACGGAGAACAUCAACACAUUAACAUCAAUACGCCAGAGGAUAUAUCAAUUGGACUUGGGGCUCUGCUGGGAGUUUACUUCAUAUUUAGAUUUUUUUUAUUCUGCUUUGCCACUAAAUCAUAAACACUGACAACUAAAAUAUUGUGGUAUUGUUGUUAUUGUUAUGCGUAUUAUGAAUAAUAAUAAUAAUAACUGGGGUGGUAGUUAAAAAAUGGACCCCAAAACGUUGAAUUUAAAAAGGUUCUUAUAAGAACUUGUAGGGGUUCACCCACAGUUUCAAUUUGAAGAACCCCUUAGGAUACUUCAGGAGCCUUUUCUUCUUAGAGUGUAGAUUCAUUCACUGAUCCUUUGAUUGGGUGAUCAAAAUGUCAGUUCAUGCUACAAGAGCUCUGAUAGGUUGGAGGACGUCCUCCGGAAGUUGCCAUAAUUACUGUGUAAGUCUGGGAGAACCAUGAGCCUCCUAGGUUUUGUAUUGAAGUCAUGGACGGAAACUAGCUGUCUUUCAGCUACACCAUGGUGCUACCCUUCAGAGUGCUGUUGAGGCUACUGAAGACCUUAAUUGAAAAACAGUGUGUUUUAAUCAAGUAUCUGGUGAUGUGG
ensembl:lncRNA